CUGGCAGGCAAACCUGCCCUGCUGUUUACCCACUACUACAGGCAAAGUCAUGCAGAGCCCCAGCCGGAGGUUAACCUGGCGACCUCUGAGCUCGAACCUGAGACCCACGAGGUGGGCUCACCUGCCGAGCUCCAGCUAGAGGUCAACAGGGAGGCUCCAGCACCAGAGCUCAACCCUGAGGUCCAAGUCCAAGUCAAGUCUCCAGUCUCUGAAGUCCAAGUCAAGUCUCAAGUCUCUGAAAUCCAAGUCAAGUCUUAAGUCCCUGAGGUCCAAGUCCAAGUCAAGUCUCAAGUCCCUGAGGUCCAAGUCAAGUCUCAAGUCUCUGAAAUCCAAGUCAAGUCUCAAGUCCCCGAGGUCCAAGUCCAAGUCAAGUCUCCAGUCUCUGAAGUCCAAGUCAAGUCUCAGGUUCCUGAUGUCACGUCCAAGCCUGCUGAUCCAGUUGACCAAGUUCCGCUAAUAUCUAAGCCUAACAACCAAGUUCUGCUCACGCCCAAGUCUACUGACAUGGCCGACCACGUUCUGCUCACACCCAAGUCUACUGACAUGGCCGACCAAGUUCUGCUCACGCCCAAGUCUAACGACACGGCCGACCAAGUUCUGCUCACGCCCAAGUCUAAUGACACGGCCGACCACGUUCUGCUCAAGCCCGAGUCUACUGACCCGGUCGCCCAAGUUCAGCCCAUGCCAAGUCUACCGACCCGGUCACCGAAGUUCAGCCCACGCCCAAGUCUACCGACCCGGUCACCCAAGUACAGCCCACGCCCAAGUCUACCGACACGACCACCCAAGUUCUGCCAAAGCCCGAGUCAGCUGACAUGCACAGCCAAGUUCUGCUCACGCCCGAGUCUGCUGACACGGACAAUCAAGCUCUGCUCACGUCCAUGUCUGCUGACAUGCACAACCAUGUGUCUGU
ensembl:lncRNA